AAUGUUAAAUUAUCGCAAGUUCAGGACGGGUUUGAAAACAGAAGUUGAUGAACUUUUGAAGACCGAAAAGGAAGAGAAUCCAAUGCGCAUAGUUUAUAGUUUUGGCAUCUGUCAUGAACAUUCUGGCACAUUUGUAUUGACUUACAUAAGAAGUACAAAUCCACACCAUGAGUACAUUGGUCUUUACCCCAAAGGAUUCAGGUUCCGCAAAAAGAUGUUUGAGGAUAUUGACCGGCUUGUGGCAUAUUUUCAAAGGCACAUCGAUGAUCCACAAAAUGAUUCAGCACCUUCCAUUAGGUCAGUAGCUGCAAUGGUGCCAAUGCGAAGCCCUGCUACUGGUGGCUCAUCAGGAGCAUCUGUGGGUAGUGGCUGGGGUGGUUCAAACAGCGAGGGUGGUUGGAGAGGUCCCUCGUAUGAUAGGGACCGGUCUUCUACUCCUGGUUCCAGAACAGGUAUGAGAUUUUAAAUUCAGCUCUAGUUUGAGGUGAAUCUAAUUAUUUUGUUUGGAUUUCUUCUGCUAGUAUUGCGCCUGCUUUGACAUUAAAUAUAAUUAGUUAUCAUGAAUCCUCUUGUUAUCAACAUGUUGAUUGGUUCCUUCUUCUGUGCAUUUUGUUCUACAUCUACCUGUUCUCUUUGUCUGCAGUUCACAUAUCAUUCAACUAAUUGCUUCCGCAUGUCAUUUUUCUAGUUCUUUUUAUUCAAAAUUAACUGUUUCUUUAUUUUUACAGGACGACCUGAUUACAGAAAUAAUGGGAAUCGAGAUGAACACCCUAGUGGAUUGCCUCGUCCAUAUGGUGGUGGUCGAGGGCGUGGUCGCGGUUCUUAUAGUAAUAAUAGUAGAGGACACAACUCCAACCACGAAAGACGUGCCGGUGCAACCAGAUGGGGAUCUGCUGUGAAAGACGGGGAUGACAGUUUAAGCAACUUCCCAGGGGCUAAGGUUCAAAAUUCCCCUGGAAGAGAAGCAUUUCCAGGUGGUUGGGGAGGUGGAGCUAGUGGUGGUGACAAAAGUGGCUGGGGAGGUGGAGCUAAUGGUGGUGACAAAAGUGGCUGGGGAGGUGGAGCUAGUGGUGGUGACAAAAGUGGAUGGGGAGGUGGAGCUAGUGGUGGGGACAAAAGUGGCUGGGGUGCUGGUCCAAGCGAUGCUGAACAGGGAAACUCUGGUUGGGGAACUGGAUCCAAGAAAGCCGGAGACAAUGGAUGGUCUGGAAACUGACCGGGCGGAAUCCACAGAGCAUUCACAUUCAUCUGUAAUUUCUCUUUAAAUCCACUCAUUUGAAUGAUAAAAUGUGGAUUAUUAAUUUAUUAGAGUAAUUGUAGUUGAUCUUGACUAUGGAACUCUGCAUUUCGUUUUCACAUUAAAAUUUCGAUUAUAUGUUCAUCGAACGACAACUGUCGAAUAUGAUUUAUAGUUUACUAAUAAGAUAAGAGGCCUGGUUGCUCGAGCUGGUGCGGAGGGGAACCUCCCGCUGUACAGGCCAUGAUAAUUUUAUGGCAGAAUUUGAUCUACGUAGCCGACCCCAUUCAGUGAGAUAAAUCUUGAUUGUUGUUAUCUGAUGUGUGUAAUAUCAAAUUGAUAUGCUUAACUGACGUAUGACGUUUUCACAGUUGCAGCUUUUCUACCGAUGGAAGUACUAAAGCGCGGAGAACUUUAGCGAUCAUAAAGCCGGAUGGAUUGCUCGGUAACUACACAGAUGAUAUCAAGAGAACAAUUUCAGAAUAUGGUUUCAGCAUUGUCAAGGAACAGAUUGUUCAACUUGGCGAGGCGACUGUGAAAAGAUUUUAUGCAGAACACUCUUCAAAAAGCUUCUUUUCAAGCCUAGUUAAAUACAUGACAAGGUUCGUCCAUUUUAAGGCCAAACUCCGUUCCGCUGAGCAAUUUUUUUUCAUAUUGCUAAUGGAUUCGAUCAAUAAGCACACAUGUCUAGCUUCAUCACUAUGUCUGAUAAUGUUAUCGGUUCAUCCAUAUGAUUUCUGUUUAAUUGCAUGUUUAUAGUCUUUUAUCAUCUUUAAUCUUCUCUUUUGCUUCUCCAUAACUAUAAUCAGUGGACCAGUGUUAGUCAUGGUUUUGGAAAAGGAUAAUGUUGUUGCUGAUUGGCGCGCUUUAAUGGGUCCUACUGAUGCAAGCAAGGCCAAGAUUACUCACCCUCACAGGUUUCCAUAAACAUGUUUACUAAUCAAACUAAUUUUGCUUGUUUAAUCGAUUUCUCUAUGCUUAACUUGUUUAUUAAUUUGAACAGCAUUAGAGCAAAAUGUGGAUUGGACACUGAAAAAAAUUGUGUUCAUGGUUCAGACUCUACCAAAUCUGCACAAAGAGAGAUACUAUUUUUCUUCGACGAGCUCGCUCCAGGUGAGUAAUUUUACUCGAGAAUUCAUAAUAUAAAGAUACUUGCUUAUUUAAGUAUUCUUUUGAGAAAGAUUAUAUUCGAAUUAUCAUAAACCUUUGCCUCACCAAUUCUUAUGGCAGAUGCAAUUACAGAACACGAUGAAUUAAUGCGCAUAGUUUAUAGUUUUGGCAUCUGUCAUGAACAUCCUGGCACAUUUGUAUUGACUUACAUAAGAAGUACAAAUCCACACCAUGAGUACAUUGGUCUUUACCCCAAAGGAUUCAGGUUCCGCAAAAAGAUGUUUGAGGAUAUUGACCGGCUUGUGGCAUAUUUUCAAAGGCACAUCGAUGAUCCACAAAAUGAUUCAGCACCUUCCAUUAGGUCAGUAGCUGCAAUGGUGCCAAUGCGAAGCCCUGCUACUGGUGGCUCAUCAGGAGCAUCUGGUGCAGUAGCUGCUGGUGCAGUACCUUUAAUUUAAGAGUCCUAGGUCAGAAAAUAAUGCCUCGUUACGACUACAAAUCUUGACUCUCUAAGUAGCAACGGUACACGGAAAUUACACUUUGUUCUCGUGUUCUAAUUAUCUAAACUAAUUUUAUUGUUUUUCCUACUCCAUGACAUCAAACCAUUCUCAUAGCCUUAGAUAAACAUCGUGAGAAUAGAUAACGAUAUUUGAUACAGCUAUAUGUGGGAUUGAUAAAUCUUUUAUACUAUAACUGAUAUUAUCUUGGAUUUUUUUCCUAUUGUCCACAAGUUCAUGUAAUAUGAAGUGUAUCAAAAGACAUGGAAUCAAAUCAAAUUGAUGUAUGAAUUAUCGUUGUGUCAAUAACUAAUUUAUUGAAGAAAUAUUUAGUUUUGAUUGCAAGGUUGUCUCAAAUGACAUUGUAGUCUAUUUUGUGUUCAAAUUUAUGAUGUAUCAAACAAGAUUGUAUUAAAUGAUAUUGUGAAAAAUUAUGGUUUAUCAACAUCCAUGCUACUUGAUUAAACAAGAAGUGAAAACCCAACACUAAUAAGCAUAUCAUAAUCAACAUACACAUACAUAACAUCUCAAUUAAAUUUGAAUUAAUCGAAAACAAAAACAAAGUAAAAUAAAAAACACUUAAACCAUAACGCGUGAACCUUUCUAUCCAUCUAUCACCAUGACCCACAACAUACAUACAUCAAAUUAACACAAAGUGUAACAGAUUUCCGUCUAUACUCAUCUCAACCUUACACUCAAUUGAUUCACGAGGAAUGCUAAAUCAUUACAUGGAUUACCACAAAAAAACUCUCUUCCAAAAAAAUCACUCUAACUGAAUUCUUUCCCUCUCUCAAUUCACUUAUAAAUUUACAUCAAAUGUUUAGCAUCGGCCUUGACUUCAACACUAAUAGCAUCCAUUUUACGUCACUAAUGGAGGACGUAAACAUGUUUAGUCAUUUAUUUUUUUUAUCUUCACCUACUAGGAUAAAUUAUAUUACAAUAAAACACACUCAUAAUAUGGUCCUCUAAGCCAUCAUCAAAAGAAACAUCACACAAUCUAUUAUUAUGAAAUGCCAAGGAUUAUAAAAGAGCAUAAACUAACAUAAAUUUGAAUAAGUAUAUAUAGUCCAUAUCAUUUUCUCAUCUUCCUCAUUUUUAUGUAUUUGAUUAUUAAGCAAAAACGUAGACGUAGUGGACCUUUGAGAAUUGAGUCAAAAAGUAAGCGGAUUAAUACCUUCCUACUUUUCAUAACCAUAAAAUACCUCACAUAGUAUUUUAGGAUUAUUUUAUCUAUUUUUUAUUAUAUUAUAUUUGGUAUUUUGUGGUUGUGUUAGGUAUUUAACUGUAGUAGAGAUUUUAUGCGAAGCGAAAACGGAACAAAACAGCAAAAAUCGGAAGAAAAUGCCAAGACUGUGUCAUGGAUUUUCAGAACACCACAAAUUCACCCACUACAGCAAUACCUUGAAGGCUUUCUCCCACUUUUCUUCCAUUAUUCAUACUGAUUUUGUGGUGUUAAGUAAUCGAAAUUCCUCCUAUAAAUUAAUCAGUGGUUUAAGCUUUGGUGUUUAUCUUGAAGCAAGUUUUAUAUUGGCACAUUUAAUUUCCACGAGUUUUAUUUUUCUGUAUUGUAUUUAAAACUCCAAUUUUUAGCAAAUUACCAGUUUAUUUUUGAGGUUUUUUUAAUUUGAUUUCUGUUUCAAUUAUUAUUAAUUCAUUUUAUUGUUUGAAGCUUUACAUGUCAUUUUACUAAUUACCUUUAAUCUUAUUUAGUUGUUAUUUUAAUAUGCCAAAUUUAUAUGGAUUAUUCUUCUUAUCUUACCAUUUAAUUAUCAAAUUAUAUUUCAGUGCUAUACUACUUUCAUAAACAUAUAUAUUUGUUUACUGUUAUGUUAUUUCUAUUUAUGCUUGUUCACGUGUUCAAUAUGCUAGCUUAAAUUACGAGAGUCUGGAUGUGAGAACGUCAUACCGACGAUCUCACAUGAAUCACACUAUAACUGAUGUGUAACGGAGAAUUGUUUUUGGUCUUGAAAAUUGGUUUUCAUAACACGUUUGUGCAAUGCGAUGCAGUGCCAAAACGGAAGUCAUGUAUAGCACCUUUUCAGUAAGGGCAGGUCUGGUGGAGGUUGCAAAGCAGGUUUGGGUCUUAGUUCUGAGCAAUUCGUAUUAUGUCUAUCUGAUAGUUAAGCUGGUACGUAUGUUUGUCUAACCAAACCUUUUAUAUAUAAUCACACAAGACUUGCAUAUCAUUAGAAAAACAAACAUAAUGACAAAAAAAUAACAAAUAAAACAAAAAAAUUGGUUUUUUAUUAUCCAUUGUUAGGGUUUCGAAUUUUGAAAUUCGGAUAAAAUUUCAUUUGUUUGUUAUAAACCAUCAUGAUUUUUAUUUAUUUUUUAAUAUUAUAAUUAUAUAAUUUUUAUUAUUCUUUUUAAAUAAAUCUUAUUAUAUUAUUAAUUAUUUUAAAAAAUUAAAAAGUCAAAUUAAAUAUAUUUAACAUAAAACGUGAGGGAUAUUGAGAAAAAAAUUCUGAAAAAUUCAGUUAUUUGUUUAGUAUAGGUUUGGGAUGAAUAAUUAAAAAGAAUAUAUAAAAAAAAAUACAAUAAAUUACACGGUAAAAAAAGAAAAUUUUAUAGUAUCCCAACAAAGGAAAAUGGUCAAUAAUUUGGGUAAUUGACAAAAUGCACUACCAUUGAGACAACGAGGUGCCAAUCUAUAGUAUUGAUCUCUUUUAUUUCAAAACUUCUCAUUCAUAUUAUAUUUCCUUAGAAAUAGUUGUAUCUAGAUUUUUUCUUCAUACAGCACAAACUUUAACGUAACAAUUGGUACCAUAUAAUUAUUUUUAAUUAUGAUGUUUUUGUAAAUAUAGUUUAUGUGUACAGAUGCUCGGGAAAAAUGGGGUAAAUCACGUUAUGCAAUUUUUUCUAAUUCUUUUACUUCUAAAACCAGUGUUACUUGCAUCUUUUUGAUGCAUCCAUUCAGAUAAUUAAAUUGCCAUUUGUUUGUUAAUAACCCAUCAAUUGUGGAUAUGGUUUUUUAUUUUCUACACUAGACAGAUCCUAUAAUUCUUAUUUUAUAUAUAUAGAGAGAGAGGUGGGGGAGGAAGGAGGGAGACUUCCCACUCCUAACAUUUUCCUUUGUCUUUAUAUGAUUAUAUUAAAUUUAAACAGUAUACUACACAUCUUUAAAUAAAAUGUAAUGUAUGCAUAGUCCAUAUCACCAUGUUAUGUCUAAAUUUGCAUCAACCAUGAGAAGCCUAGAAACCCCGGGACUCGGAAAAACUAAAGGCAUGUUUGAAACACUUUUCAAUUUUAGUUCUUAAAAAUUUUUUUUUCAAAAUUAUUUUUAAAAAUUAAAAAAGAAAAUUAACAAAAAAUUUGUUUGAUAAACUAAUUUUUAAACACUGUUUUUGAAAAAUAUGAAAAUGAAAAAACUGUGUUUGAUAAUCUAUCUUUUAAUGUAUGUAAGAAGAGAGAAUAAAAUGUUAGUAUUAUGGUCAUUUACUUUUAAAUCUAUUUUAUUGUAUAAAGUAUUACAAACUAAAAAAUUAAUUGAUAUUUGGUCGAAUAACAAAUAAUUUGGGUUAAAUCAAUAUUUUAAUGUUUUAUGAAAUGAAAAACUUGUUGAUGUAACUAUCUUUUAAGUAUUUUAAGAAGAGAAUAAAAAUGUAUAUUAUUUGUUAUUUACUUUUAAAAUCUAUUUUAUUGUAUAAAAUAUUACAAACUUUAAAAAAAUUAAUCUGAUAUUUGGUCGAAAAUUACAAAUAAGGGUCUAAAUCUAAUUUUAAUUUACAAAUCACAUAAACCUUGUUUGUAAUAAGAUACAGAAAAAGAACAAAUAAAAAAUGGGAUUCCACGGUUUAUAAUAGAGAGAAAAAAUUUAUAAGUGAAAAUAAUUAAGAAACACAAAAAAAUUAAGUAAAAUAAAUAACAUAUUUUUGAAAGGUUAAUUAUACAUAAAAGCGCAUAAAUAAAAGAAAUAACAUACUCUUUAAAAUACAGUUUUUUUAUUUUAUUUUAAAAAUAUAAAAAUUAUUUAAAAUUACAUUAAUGCUAUUAUGAAAAUUAUAAAUUUUAUGUUUUUUUUUCAAUUUUUAAACUAAAAACUAAAAAGUACACAAAUUAAACAGUUAUCACUUUUUGCUUUUAAAAACUGAAAAAUAAAAAGAGUUUUUAAUAACACUUUUAUGAAACAUAUAUAUUCAACAAAUUUUUAAAGGUUAAAUUUUCAAAAACUAAAAAAGAGUUUUAAGAUACAUUUUCAAACAUACCAUCUCUGCGAUGCUUGGAGACUCUUUUUUUUAUAAAUUUAUUUAUUUUUUAAUAUAAUAAAUUUAUAAAUAAUUUAUUUUCUUUUCAAAUAAAAUCUUAUUUAUCUUAUAUCAUUAAUUUUAAUAAAUUAAGAAGAUCAAUAAAUUAUUUAUGCAUAAUUAAAUUUAAUAAUAGUCAAACAUAAAAAUAUAUCAUUUAUUAGAAUUACACUAAUUAUAAAAAGGUGUCUUAUAACUUGAAUGAGUCUAAAAUACUUAAAUGGGAGCAGUUGAAUCAUCACAAAUUUUAAACAGUGGCAGUGGCAUUAUUGGUUAAGUUUACAGUGGCAGGUUAUGUAGUUAACAGAUUCAGUUAAGUUAAGUUGUGUUUUAUCCAUUGACAGUUAAGUUUCUUACGGUAAUAGCGGGUUAGUUGAGCUUCAUACAUAACACAGUGUAACAUUCCACUGGGAAAAUUCUUCUCUCCUCUGUCAGUAAUCUCUCAGUCAAUUGUCACGCAGUUAGGCAGCAGUAAGCGCAUAUGAAAAAAAGGGAGAGUAGCGGUGAAGCCGGUGAAGUAAUCAGAGAAGUUCAAGCUAGUAGCAGCAGUAACGCCGCAUGAAAAAAGGAGAGUAAGCCGGUGAAGCCGACGUGAAGUAAUCAGAGAAGUCAGCUAGUAGCAGCAGUAAGCGCAAUGAAUAAAGGGGAGAGUAAGCCGGUGAAGCCGGUAGAAGUCAGAGAAGUCAAUGCAGUUACGCAGUAAGGCGCAAUGAAAGAGAGGGGAAGAGUAAAGCCGGUAAAGCCGUGACGUAUGUAGAGAAGUCAAGCAGCUAGCACAGUAAGCGCAAUGAAAAAAAGGGGAAGAGUAAAGCCGGUGAAGCCGGUGAAAGUAUUAGAGAAAGUCAAGCAGAGCUAGCAGUAAGCGCAAUGAAAAAAAGGGGAAGAGUAAGCCGGUGAAGCCGGUGAAGUAUAGGAAGUCAAGCAGUAGCAGCAGUAAGCGCAUUGAAAAAAGGGAAGAGUAAAGCCGGUGAAGCCGGUGAAGCCGUGGUGAAGUAUCAGAGAAGUCAAGCAGUAGAGUGUAGCGCAAUGAAAAAAGAGGGAGAGUAAAGCGUGAAGCCGUGAAGAUCAGAGAAGUCAGCAGAGCUUAGCAGUAAGCGCAAUGAAAAAAGGGGAAGAGUAAGUCGUGAAGCGUGAAGACAGAGAGUCAAGCAGUGCAGAGUAGCAUGAAAAGGAAAAGGGAAGCGUGAAGAUCGAGAGGCAAGGAGUCGCAUAAGCCAUGAAAAGGGGAGAAGUAAAGUUGGCGGCCGUGACCAUAGAAGUAGCAGUAGCAGCAAUAAGCUAUGAAAGGAAGAGUAAAACCGGUGAAGCCGAAGUGAGUCAAAGUAAGCGUGAGCGCGAAGAAGAGUAACGGUCGAGAAGCAAGAGUAGCAGAGCAUGAAAGGAGGUACCGGUAAGCCGAAGUAUCAAGAAGUCAAGCAGUGCGCUGUGGAAGAAAAAGGGAAUGGGGAGUAUAAAGCAAGCUUAGGAUAGCGAUGCAGGGAGAAAGCCGGGAUAGGCGUCGAGUACGAGUAACCAAUGAAAAAGGAAGAGUGGCCAAGUUCAGAAGUCAGCAGAGCAGUAGCGCAAUGAAAAAAAGGGGGAAGAGUAAAGCCGGUGAAGCCGGGAGUUCAGGAAGGUAACAGUAGCUAGGCAAAAAAGGAAAGAAACGGUGAGCGUGAGUACGGAGUCAAGCAGUAGCAGCAGUAAGCGCAAAAAAGGAGAGCGGUAAAGCCGUGAGUAUCAAGAAGUCGAGAGCAGCGUAACGCAUAAGGGGUAAGCGUGAAGCCGGUGAAGUAUCGAGAUACGCAGUCUAAGCAAGGGGGAUAAGGUGGCCGGAAGUACAGAAAAGUUCAAGCAUAGCACAUCUAAAGGAAUAACCAAGAGUGAGAGCAGAGGUUUCAGAGUAGAGCGACGAAUGUAAGGGGUAAGCCGUAGGGAGUAUCAAGUCCACAGUAGCGAAUAAGCGCAGAAAAGGAAGUCGAAGCGUAUCAAAGAAGUAGCAGACAGCAGUAACGCAAAGGAACCGUGAGCCGUAGAAGAAAGUCAGAGUAGAGCCGUAGGCAUAAAAAAGGGAGUAAGCGGGAAGCGGAAGUCGAGAAGUCCGCAGUAGUAGCCAAGAAGGGAGAAAACCGGGACGUGAAGUAUCGGAGUCGCAAGUCGCGCGAAGCAAAAAGGGAUAAAGCGUAGCUAAGUUCGGAGUCAAGCAGCAGAAGAUGAAAAAAAGGGGAAGAGUAAAGCCCGGUGCCGGUGAAGAAUCAAGAAUCAGCUAGACAGUAGGCAAGCAAAAGGAGAUUAAGCGUGAAGACGAAAGCAGUAAGAGCGCAGAAAGAGUAAAGCGUGAACCGUGAAGAAGAGAAGUCAAGCAAGUAGCACAAACGCAAUGAAGGGAUAAGCGGGCCCGGUGGACAAGAAUACAGUACAAUGCAUACAAGGGAGAGUUACGUAAGCCGUGAAGUAUCAAAAGCACAGAAGCAGUAAGCGCAUAAAAGAAGAGAAACCUGAAGCAGAAGUCAAAGCAGAGCAGCAGUAAGCCGUAAGGAAGAAGCGGUGACCGCUGAAGUAUCAGAGUCACAGUAGAGAGUAACGGCAUGAAAACGAAGAAGUCGUUGAGCCGGGAAGUAUCAAAGCACAGUAGCAGCAGUAAGCGCAAUGAAAAAAAGGGACGAGAAAGCGUGAGGCUGAAGUUCGAAAUCAAGGUAGAGCAAAGGCAAUAAAAUGAUAAGCGGUGAAGUUGGAGUCGUUAGCACCAAAGUUAAACGAUGAAAGGGAAACCGGUAAGCGAAGUAAUGAGAAGUAGCGAGCAGCGUAAGCGCAAUAAAGGAAGAUAAAGCGGUAAGGGAAGAUGAGAAGUCAGCAGUAGGUAUAAAAAAAGCCGGUGAAGGCCGGAGUUCAGGAAGUAAGAGUAGAGAUAACGCGAAGGAAGAGUAAGCCGAAGCCGAAGUUCGAGCAGCAGUACAGUAAGCGCAAUGAAGGAAAUAAACAGACCGGUGAAGAUCAGGAGUAGCAUAGACAGAACCAAUAAGAAGAAACGGAGUAUAAAGAAGCAUGCAGUGUAACCGAUAAAAAGGGGAAAGAUCCGACCGGUGAAAUCAGAAGUAAGCGUAGGCGAAGCAAAAGGAAGUAAGUCGGUGAUUUAGAGAGUUCAAUGCAAUAACAAUGAAAAAGAGGAAGAGUAAAGCCGUGAAGUCAAAAAGUCAAGCACGGUGGCAUGAAAGGGAAGAAGUAUAACGGAAGCCGGAACGUCAGAGAAUCAAGCAGUAGCAGCGUUAGGCUGAUAAAAGGGAGUAAAUGUGAAGGGACAGGCAAAUGAGCAGAAGCGAAUGAAAAGGGAAGAAGUAACCGUUGAAGCGUGGUGAAGUUAUAGAGAGUCAAGCAUAGCAGUCAGUAGGCAAUGAUAAAAAGGGGAAGAGUAAGGCCGGUGGAAGCCGCUGAAGUAUCAGAGAAGUCAAGCUAGUCUAGCAGCAGUAAGCGCAAUUGAAAAAGGGAGAGUAAAGCCUGAGCGUUGAAGUAUCAGAGAAGUCAAGCCAGUAGCAGCAGUAGCGCAAUGAAAAAAAGGGGAAGAGUAAAGCCGGUGAAGCGGUGAGUAUCCAGAGAAGUCAAGCAGUAGCAGCGUAAGCGAAUGAAAGAAGGGAAGAAGUAAAGCGGUGAAAGCCGGUGCAGUAUCAGAGAAAUCAAGCAGUAGCAUGCAGUAAGCGCAUCUAUGAAAAAAAGGGGAAGAGUAAAGCCGGUGAACGCCGGUGAAAGUAUCAGAGAAGUCAAGCAGUAGCAGCAGUAAAGCGCAAUGAAAAAAAGGGAAGAGUAAACCCGGUGAGCGGUGAAGUAUCACGAGAAGUCAAGCAUAGGCAGCAGUAAGCGCAAUUGGAUAAAAAGGGGAGAGUCAAGCCGGUUAGGGCCGGGUAAGUAUCAGAGAGUCAAGGCAGUAGCAGCAGUAAGCGCAAUGAAAAAAGGGGAAGAGUAGCGGUGAGCCGGUGAAGUUAUAGAGAAGCAAGCGAUAGCAGCAAGUAAAGCCGCAAUGAAAAAAAGGGAAGAGUAAAGCCGGUAGCGGUUGAGAGUUAUCAGAGAAGUUCAAGCAGUAGCAAAGCAGUAAGGCGCAUUGAAAAAAGGGGAAGAAGUAAAGCGCGUGAAGCGUAUCAGAGAAAUCAAGCAGAGUAGCAAGCGUAAGCGCCAACUGAAACAAGGGAAGAGUAAAGCCGGUUUGAGCCUGUAAAGUAUCAGAGAAGUCAAGCAGUAGCACAGUAAGCGCAAUGAAAAAAGGGGAAGUAGAAGAGGUAAAGCCGGGAAGUAUCAGAGGAAUCAAAGCAGUAGCAGCAGUAAGCGCAAUGAUAAAAGGGAGAGUAAAGCCGGUGAAGCGUGAAGUAUCAGAGAAUCAGCAGUAGCAGCAGUAAGCGCAAUAUGAAAAGGGGAGAGUAACUUGAAAGCCGGUGAGUAUCAGAGAAGUCAAAGCAGUAGCAGCAGUAAGCGCAAUGAAAAAGGGGGAAGAGUAAAGCCGGUGAGCCGUGAAGUAUCAGAGAAGAUCAGAGCAGUAGCAGCAAGUGAAGCGCAUGAAAAAAAGGGAAGAGUAAAGCCGUGAGGUGAAGUAUCAGAGAACGUCAAGAGUAGCAGCAGUAAGCGCAAUGAAAAAAAAGGGAAGAAGUAAAGCCGGUGAAGCCGCUUGAGUAUCGAGAAAGUCAAGCAGUAGCAGCCGUAAGCCGCAAUGAAAAAAAGGGGAAGAGUAGCGAAGCCCGGUGAAAGAUUCAGAGAAGUCAAGCAGUAGCACGCAGUCAAGCGCAAUGAAAAAAAGGAAGAGUAGCCGGUGGAAGCCGGUGAAGUAUCAGAGAAGUCAAGCGUAGCAGCCGUAGCGCAAUGAAAAAAAGGGGAAGAGUAAAGCCGUGAAGCCGGUGAAGUAUCAGAGAAGUCAAGCAGUAGCAGCAGUAACGCAAUGAAAAAAGGGAGAGUAAAGCCGAUGAAGCCAGUGGUAUCAGAGAAGUCAGCAGUAGCAGCAGUAAGCGCAAUGAAAAAAGGGGAAGAGUAAGUCGGUGAACCGUUAGUAUCAGAGAAGUCAAGCACAGUAGCAGCAGUAAGCGCAAUAAAAAGGGGAGAGUAAAGCCGAUGAAGCGUGAAUAUCAGAGAAGUCCAAGCUAGUAGCAGCGUUAAGCGCAAUGAAAAAAAAGGGGAGAGUUAAAGUUCGGUGAAGUUAGAGAAGUCAAGCAGUAGCAGCAGGAAGCGCAAUGAAAAAAAGGGAGAAGUAAAGCCGGUGAAGUAAGUAUCAAGAGAAGUAAGCAGUAGCAGCAGUAAGCGCAAUGAAAAAAAAGGGGAAGAGUUAAAGCCGGUGAAGCCGGUAAGUAAUCAGAGAAUUCAGCAGGUAGCAGCAGUAAGCGCAAUUGAAAAAAAGGGGAAGAGUAAAGCCGGUGAAGCGUGAAGUAUCAGAGAGAAGUCAAGCAAGUAGAGCAGUAAGCGCAAUGAAAAAAAGGAAGAGUUUUAAAUCCUUGAAGCCCGGUGAAGUUAUUAGAGAAUCACGCCAGUCGAGCAGCAGUAGCGCAAUGAAAAAAAGGAAGGUAAGCCGGUGAAGCCGCUGAAGUAUAGAGAAGUCAAGCAAAGUAGCAGCAGUAAGGCAAUGGAAAAAAAGGAAAGCAGCAAGAGUAAGCCGAGUGACGUAUCAGAGAAGUCAGCAAGUAGCAGCGUAAGCGCAAUGAAAAAGGGGAGAGUAAGCCUGAAGCCGGUGAGUACAGAGAAGUCAAAAGCUAAGUAUUUAGCAAGCGUAAGCCAAUGAAAAAAAGGAAGAGUUUUAAGCCGGUGAAAGCCGCGUGAAGUUCGAGAAAUCAAGCAAGUAAAUAGUAGCGCAGUCAAGCGCAAUGAAAGAAAGGAAAGUAAAGCCGGUUGAAAGCGGUAAAGUUCAGAAAGUAAGGCAGUUGCAGCAGUAAGCGCAAUGGAAAAAAAAGGGAGAGUAAACCCGGUGAGCCAGUGAAAGUAUCAGAGAAAGAAGUCAAGCAGUAGGCAGCAGUAAGCGCAAUGAUAAAAAGGGGAGAGUAAAGCCGGUGAAGCCGGUGAAAGUAGCAGAGAAGUCAAGCAGUAGCAGCAGAUAACGCAAUGAAAAAAAGGAAGAGUAAAGCCGUGGAAGCCGGUGAAGUAUCAGAGAGUCAAGCACUAGCCAGCAGUAAGCGCAAUGAAAAAGGGAAGAGUAAAGCGGUCUAGGCGGUGAGUAUCAGAGAAGUCAAGCAGUAGCCAGCGAUAAGCGCAAUGAAAAAGGGGAAAGAGUAUAGCGGUGAAUAUCCGAGAAGUCAAGCACGGGUAGCAGCAGUAGCGCAAUGAAAAAAAGGGGAAGAGUAAAGCCGGUGAAGCCGCGUGAGUAUCAGAGAAGGUCAAGCAGUAGCAACUUAGCCAAUGUGGAAAAAAAGGAAGAGUAAAGGCGCGGUGAAGCCGGUGAAGUAUCAGAGAAUCAAGCGUAGCAGCAGUAAGCGCAAUUUGAAAAAGGGGAAGAGUAAAGCGGUGAAGCGGUGAAGUAUCAGAGAAGUCAAGCUAGCAGCAGUGCGCCAAUGAAAAAGGGAAGAGUAAAGCCAGGUGAUGUUAUCAGGAAGUCAAGCAAGUAGCGCAGUAAGGGGCGCCAUAUGAUAAAAGGGGAAGAGUAAAGCCGGUGAAGCCGGUGGAAACGUAUCAGGAGAAAUAGUAGAGCAGUAGCAGCAGUAAGCGCAAUGAAAAAAGGGGAAGAGUAAAGCCGUUGAAGCGCGGUGAAGUAAUCAGAGAGUCAAGCAGUAGCAGCAGUAUAGCGCAAUGAAAAAAAGGGGAAGAGUAAAGCCGGUGAAGCCGCUGAGUACAGAGAAGUCAACAGUAGCAGCAGUAAGCGCAAUGAAAAAAAGUGGAAGAGUAAAGCCGGGUUGAGAUCGAGACGUCAGCAGUAGCCAGCAGUAAGCGCAAUGAAAAAAAGGGGAAGAGUAAAGCCUGUGAAAGCCGGUGAAGUAUCAGAGGAAUCAAGCAGUUAGCAGCGGUAAGCGCGCAAUGAAAAAGAGGAAGAAUAAAGCCGGUGAGCCGGUGACAGUAUCAGAGAAGUCAAGCAGUAGCAGCAGUAGCGCAAUGAAAAAAGGGGAAGAGUAACAGCCGGUGAAGCCAGUGAAGUAUCAGAGAGUCAAGCAGUAGCAAGCAGUAAGCGCAAUGAAAAAAAAAGGGGAAGAGAAAAGCCGGUUGAGCCGGUGAGUAUCAGAGGAAAGUCAGCAGUGGCAGCAGUAAGCGCCAUGAAAAAAGGGGAAGGUAAAAGCCGAUGAAGCCGGUGAAGUAUCAGAGAAGUCAAGCCAGUAGCAGCAGUUAGCGAGGAAGAAAGGGGAAAGAGUAGUCGGCGUGAAGUUAUUAGAGAGUCAAGCGAGUAGCAGCAGUAAGCGCAAUUGAAAAAAAGGGAAGAUAAGCCGGUGGAGCCGGGUGGAAGUAUCAGAGAAGAUCACAGCUAGUCGUAGCAGCAGUAAGCGCAAUGAAAAAAAGGGGAAGAGUAAAGUCGGUGAAGUAGAGGAGUCAGCAGUUCUAGCAGCAGUAAGCGCAAUGAAAAAAAGAGGAAGAGAAGUGUGAAUAUCAAAGAAGUCAGCAGUAGCAGCAGUAAGCAGCAUGCAAAAAAGGAGAGUAAGGGUGAAGCCGGUGAAGUAUCAGAGAAUCAAGCCAGGAGCAGCAGUAAAGCGCAGAUGGAAAAAAAAGGGGAGAGUAAAAGCCGGUCUGAAGCGGUUGAAGUAUCGAGACAAUCAGCUAGCAGCCAGUAAGCGCAAUGAAAAAAGGGGAAGAGUAAAGCCGUAGAAGCGGUGAAGUAUUAGAGAGUCAACAGUAAAAUUGCUGCAGUAAGCGCAAUGAAAAAAAGGGGAGGAGUAAAGCGGUGAAGCGCUGAAGUAUCAGAGAAGGUCAGCAAGUCAGCAGCAGUAAGCGUAAUGAAAAAGGGAGAAAGUAAAGGCCGGUGGAAGUAUCGAAGAAGUUAAGCAAGUAUAGCAGCAGUAAGCGCAAUGAAAAAAAGGGAGAGUAAAGCCGGCUGAAGCCGGUGAAGUAUCAGAGAAGUCAAGCAGUAGCAGCAGUAAGCGCAAUUGAAAAAGGGGAAGAGUAAAGCGUGAAGCGGUGAAGUAUCAGAGAAAUCAAGCCAAGUUGCAAAGAAAAAAAAAAAAAAAAAAAGCAGUUAAGCGCAAUGAAAAAAAGGGGAGAGUAAGCCGGUGAGCGCGGUGAGUAUCAGAGAAGUUCAAGCAGUAGCAGCCAGUUAAGCGGCAAUGAAAAAAAGUGAGAGUUAACCGGGUGAAGCCAGUGGAUCAGAAGAAGUCAAGCAGUGGCAGCAGUAGAGCGGCAUGAUAAAAAGGGGAAGAAGUAAAGCCGGUGAAGCCGGUGAAGUAUCAGAGAGUUUUCAAGCAGUAGCAGCAGUAAGCGCGAUUGAAAAAAAGCGGGAGAGUAAAGCCGGUGAAGUCGGUGAGUAAUCAGAGAAGUCAAGCCGUUAGCAGCAGUAAGCGCAAUGAAAAAACAAGGGAGGAGUAAGGCGGUGAAAGCGGGAAGUAAUCAGAGAAUUCAAGCAGUUAGCACAGUAAGCGCAAUCCGAAAAAGGGGAGAGUAAAGCCGGUGAGCCGGUGAAGUAUCAGAGAAGUCAGCUAAGUAGCAGCAGUAAGCGCAAUGAAAAAAGGGUAAAGAGUAAAGCCCGGUUGAGCCGGUGAAGUAUCAGAGAAAGAGAAAAUAUAUCCUCCAGAAGAAACUAUAAUCCGCCAAGAGUUACAGCGCCAAAAGAGUGCUAAAAGAGUUACAAGACUGUCAACCAAAAAAAACGUCUGGAAUGAAAAAGAGUGAGGUUUGUAAAAGAUGCAAUCAAAGCUUUCAUAUGGAAUAGGCACUAGUAAGGGCAUAGAAAUGGUUGUAAAUGAAGAGAGAAAGAUGAAAACAAAGCGGAAAGGUGUAAUGCUAGAGAAACAGGUCCAAUCCAGCAAGAAGAAGACAGAAUGAACAAAGGGCAAGGGUAAAUGCUACAGAAACAGGUGUCAAAUCCGCAAAGAGAACACAGAUGAAAACAAGGGAAGGGCAAGCUGAAAUGUGAUACUCAAAUUAACCUGCAUGUUCGCAUGUCAGCUUUUAUUUCAUUGUUUUCAUUUUGUAUGGAGAUAUGAUGUUUCAUUUCUUUUUUCAUAUUUUGGAUAUUACAAAUUCAUUGGAACGUUUUCUUUCUUCCAUUUUUACAUUCUUUUAUACUCUUUCUGUUAUAUUAAACAUUGUAAUGCUACCAAUUUGAUAUUACAUAAUUGUUCUUAAUAUGUAUAUUCGCCAAAUCAUGAGAAUCUCUUUUCUCAACUUUUCCAUUUCAUUAUGCGUCUUGACUUUGAAAUUAUCUUUCUUCAAUGUAUUUAUGGAGAUCACAAGAUGCAAACAAAUGUAAUUGAUUACAAAGAGACUAGGCUGAAGAUUAAUUUGAGCCUAUUGCUUCCUUCUGAGAAAUAUUAUGGACAGAGACGCAUGACCGAUAUAUUUCACAUGGAAUGCCUUAUAGCACAAGAGUUCUGAUGUUGAAGUAAAUUCAUACGGACGGAUUACUCAAUUGAAUCACAAUAUUAACUAUGUGUACGAGAAUUGUGUUUUGGGUCUGAAAAUUUUAUUUGUAACACGUUUCUUGUGCAAUGCGAAUGCAGUUGCCAAAACGGAAGUCAAUGUAUAGCACUUUCAGUAGGCAGGUCUGUGGGAGCGUCUGCAACAGGUUUGGGUCUAGGUUCUGAGCAAAUCGCAUUAUGUCUAUCUGUAGUUAGCUUGGAUGAUAUGUUUGAAUUUAGAACUGCUCUUUGUUUUUGACAUAACAUAAUGAUUAAAAGGUUUUGUAUUUGUCUGCCUCUUCUACAAACAUGGCUUCAUAGUCUCAUCAGAAACCCACCAGAAAGAGGCUNAGGAACCACAUGAAGAAGUUGAAUAAUUUUCCAAGCAUUACCCCCUACACUAAAUAUUUCGACUUUGUUGGGACUCAAAGAUAGAAUCUUAUAAGUAUCGGUUGAAUUAUCAUAACCAAAUGAAAAGCGGGAAGACCUGCGAUAGUCAUAUGCAUUUUGGUGAGGAUUGGAGUGAUGUCCAAAGUAGACAGAAAAUGUGUGGGCGGCUGGGUUCCAUAAUUGAAACCAGGUGUAUUGAAGAUCUGUUGAAGAAAUAACACUGAAACAUAUCAAUCCAUUGCAGGAACCAAUGAAUUCGUAGCAAUUGUCGACGCUGGCUGAGAUGUAUUGUUUGGUGUACUUUAUCAUGGAAGGAUUGUUUAGUAAAGUAUUGAGGGGAUAGGGUUGGAUAACAGAUUCCUGAGACACGCCUAAGAUUUGUGUGAGAUUCUUUUUUUUUUUUGAACGUUGAAGAUGCAGUUUGAUAAAUUUUGGAUCGGAGAUGAUGGCGUUCCAUGCUUUGGUCACGCAUCUCAGUUGCGUCAAAGAUCUAACCGGAAGGUAUGACAGAACUUGUAAGAUGAGUUCUUCGGGAAGGAAUAAUAGAUUGCCGUUGGAUUUCAUCACAACUUGCGCACUCUUAAAACUGAAAUAGAAAUAGAAAGCUGAACCCUAAUAAACGUAAACAAGCUGUUACUCAUUUAAAUAGGGUUUCUUAAAAUGUUUUUUUUAUAUGUUUGUAUCCUUUAAUUUUUAUGUGAGCCCAACCAACAUGCAAAUUCGCCUUUUUGUUUUCUAUAUUUUUUUAAACCAUUCUAAGGAAUACACUAGUGGUAUUAUUUUAAGAUUUUAAAUAAUAUUAUAUAUUUUAAUUUNUUUUUUUUAUAUGUUUGUAUCCUUUAAUUUUUAUGUGAGCCCAACCAACAUGCAAAUUCGCCUUUUUGUUUUCUAUAUUUUUUUAAACCAUUCUAAGGAAUACACUAGUGGUAUUAUUUUAAGAUUUUAAAUAAUAUUAUAUAUUUUAAUUUUUAAUAUCUAUAAAAUUUUACAUAAAUUUUUAUUAUAGAAAGCGAUACAGAACCAUAUAUAAAUAAAAAUAAAAGCUUACAAAAUAUAGAAAAAGUAAUCGAGCGUGUAUAUAGACCAAUAUAUUUAGCAAAAGUCCAAGUCAAAACAUCAAUAAAAAAUUGCCUAACCACAAAAAAAAAAGGAAAAACUAUUACAAAUAUAUUCAAAUAAUAAUGACAAAUAAAUUCAAAUUACCUCAUUUUUUAUAUUACGUUCAUUCCUUACAAACUUUCAUAUUCUAAAUCAUAUUUAAUGAUGUUUUUAUGUCAACACUAUCAAAUAUAUUAUUGAGUUUUGAUGUCUACCAUAAUUUAUAUCUAAAUAUUUUGUGAUUCAAAAUUGAAAUUUAUUAAAAUAAAAUUAAAAACAAAUACUCUAUUUACUCGUAAAUUACUUUUUCUGUUCAUCAUGUCUCCCUUUUUCUAGAAAAAACAAAUACUCUAUUUACUCGUAAAUUACUUUUCCCUUUUUCUAGAAGCUAAAUAAUCCCCGAAGCAAAUUACUCAAACCCUAGCCGCAUAACAUUUAAAAAAAAAAUCUCAACAUCAACCACAAUCAACUAUAAUUAGUCUGAAAUCCUAAAGCCUAGGAGAAAAAUAGGGGCUUCGGUGGUGAGAAGAUUGAUAUGAAAGGAAUAAGUCUCACCGGAGCUUCGCAACUCCGGCGAGAUCCCGACGGUCGAAGAAAUACCUCAGGUAAAGGAUUGCGACUCUUACUCUUUAGCUCCAAGUCCUCGACUUCUUCUCCCCUUCUUCUUCAAAUCUUCACCCUCUACUCGUCAAAGCGCUUUUUCUAAUGAACUGCGAUUUCGUCCAGGUUGAUUGAGCUUUGGUGUGUAGGUUGGGAUGUGAUUUCAGCAGGGUGACGGUGCCAGAAGGGAGAGGCCUUUCAAUGAAUGAGCGCUCCCUUUUAUAGAGUUCAAUACGAGGUUCAAUCCGCUCCUCCUUCAUGAGCUGGCAAAUCUUUGGAUGAAUCAAUCCGUUAGCCAAAAGAAUCUCGUCCAGAUUUGGUGGUCCUCCCUUUUGACGUGGACCCCAAAAUGAAGGUAUU
rnacentral:lncRNA from 1 species